GUUAAACAUAGAGUUACUAUACGAGUCAGCAAUUCUACUGCUAGGUAUAUGUGAAAACAUGUUCCCACAAAAUCUUGCACAUGAACGGGCACUGCGGUGUUCUUCAGAAUAGUCCUAAAGUGGAAACAACCCAAAUGUCCAUCAGCGAACGAGCAGGUUAACCAAAUGAGCUGUAACCACACAAUGGAUAUUAAUUGACCGUCAAAAGGAAUGAUGUCCUGAUUCCUGCUUCACCACAGAUGAACCUUGAAAACAACAUGCUAAAUGAAAGCAGCCAAACAUAAAAGGCCAUGUAACAUUUGUAUGAAAUGUCCAGGAUAGCCAAGUACACAGAGAUUAGUGUCGUCGGGCUGGGGGGAAAGGGAGCAAUGAGGAGUCCCUGCUUGACAGGUGUGGGCUUUCUUUUUGGGGUGAUGAAAAUGUUCUGGAAUUAGACAGUAAUGAUGGUUACACCACUCCAUGAAUAUAAUAAAAACACUUGUACUUUAAAAUGGUUAUAAUGGUGAGUUUUUAUGUUAUGUGAAUUUUAUCUCAAAAAAUUAUUUUAACUCCAUGGAGAGAAAAUCAUGAAAGUAAUUUGCCUAAAUGUCACAGUGGUUGGUUAUGGCUCUGAGUCCUAGGUAAUUUUUUCCUUUGUCCGAAUUUAUGCAGUGUGGCUAUAGUACUCAUUGAAAAUAAUUUUUAAAAGUUAUUUUAAAAUAAAACCAAAAUAUUUCCCUUUAUCACAUUGUUCUUCUUGCUUAAUUUCCUACCCACAUUUCUGUUCUCUCCACUUUGAUUCCCCAAAUACAGGUCACUGAAUCCAAGGCCACCUGUGGAGGGAAGAGUUGAGAUGUCAGUGAGAACCUCCAGAACGAAGCUGCCCUACUGACACCUUGACUUUGGCCCCAGUGAAAGUAUUUUUGGACUCUUGGCCUUCAAAACUGUAUGAGAUUAAAUUGGCAUUGCUGUAAGUCA